rnacentral:lncRNA from 1 species
GCAGAGAUAGACAAGCUCCGGGUCUGAAGGCACUUUCCAAUGCACCACCAGCCCCUUUUUUCCUGCUGGCUCUAACUACGAAGCACAUUGCUUACAGUCCUGCCUGUGGGUGGAGCUUGGAGCUGAGAAAUGCGAGGGGGAUGGAGAGAGGGCUUGAGGAGAAAGAGCAUUAGUAAUGCUCCAGAAAAGAGUUAACAGUGAAGCUGUGAAGUGAGCAUGCAAAAAUUAUCCCUACCUCCAGGACAAAGGAUUCCUAUUUCAACAGCAAACUUGCAGGUCAUCUCUUCCAGAUGUAUGAAGGUAUGAGAGAAGAAGCUGCCUGACCACUAAGGACAUCAACGAGAGGCAAGAAAUAAAUUUGAGUUAAGCCACCA